UGACCUCGAAUCAGGUAGGGAUACCUGCUGAACUUAAGCAUAUCAAUAAACGGAGGAAAAGAAACGAACCAGGAUUGCCCCAGUAACAGCGAGUGAAGCGGCAACAGCUCAAGUUUGAAAUCUGGCCCCCCGGGGCCCGAGUUGUAAUUUGCAGAGAAUGCUUCGGGUGUGACGCCGGUCUAAGUUCCUGAGGAUGAGAAUCCUGUACCUGACCGGCGGCCCGGCCUGGGUGAAGCUCCUUUGACGAGUCAAGUUAUUUGGGAAUGCAGCUCCAAAUGGGUGGUAAAUUCUAUCUAAAGCUCAAUACCAGCCAGAGACCGAUGGCACACAAGUAGAGUGAUCAAAAGAUGAAAAGCACUUUGGAAAGAGAGUUAAACCGUACGUGAAAUUGUUGAAAGGGAAGCGCUUGCGGCCAGACUUGCCCUCGGGCAAUCAGCCGCCCUUUGGGGCGGUGCACUUGCCCGCGACCAGGCCAGCAUUGGUUUGGGCGGCCGGACAAAGGCCCCAGGAACGUGGCUCCCCCGGGGGAGUGUUACAGCCCGGGGUGCCAUGCGGCCUGCCCGGACCGAGGACCGUGCUCCGGCGAGGAUGCUGGCGUAAUGGCCAUCAGCGACCUGUCUUGAAACACAGACCAAGGAGUCUAACAUCUAUCCGCCUGUUUGGUCGUCAAACCCCGGCGCAGAAUGAAUGUGAACAGAGGUGGGAACCCCCGGCCGGGUGCACCAUCGACCGAUCCUGAUGCCUUCGGAUGGAUUUGAGUAAGAGCAUAGCCGUUGGGACCCAAAAGAGGGUGAACUAUGCCUGAAUAGGGUGAAGCCAGAGCAAACUCUAGUAGAGGCUCGCAGCGGUUCUGACGUGCAAAUCAAUCAUCAAGUUUGAGUAUAGGGGCAAAAGACUAAUCAAACCAUCUAGUAGCUGGUUCCUGCCGAAGUUUCCCUCAGGAUAGCAGUAGCACGUUCAGUUUAUGAGGUAAAGCUAAUGAUUAGAGGCCUUGGGGUUGGAACAACCUUAACCUAUUCCCAAACUUUAAACAUGUAAGAAGUCCUUGUUGCUCCGUUGAACGGGGACCAUCGAAUGCACCGUUACUAGUGGGCCAUUUUUGGUAAGCAGAACUGGCGAUGCGGGAUGAACCAAACGCGAGGUUAAGGUGCCAGAAUGCACGCUCAUCAGACACCAUAAAAGGUGUUAGUUCAUCCAGACAGCCAGACGGUGGCCAUGGAAGUCGCAACCCGCUAAGGAAUGUGUAACAACUCACCGGCCAAAUGAACUAGCCCUGAAAAUGGAUGGCGCUCAAGCGUGCUACCCAUACCUUGCCGCUGGAGUAGCAACAAUGCCCCGGCAAGUAAGCAGGCAUAGGGGUCGGUGAUGAAGCCUUGGGAGCGAUCCUGGGUUGAACGGCCCCUAGUGCAGAUCUUGGUGGUAAUAGCAAAUACUCAAAUGAGAACUUUGAGGACUGAAGUGGGGAAAGGUUCCAUGUGAACAGCAGUUGGACAUGGGUUAGUGGGCCCUAAGAGAGAGGGAAGCUCUGUUUGAAAGUGCGCACUCGUGCGCUGCUCCUCAAAAGGGAAGCCGGUUAAUAUUCCGGCACCUGCAUGUGGAUUCUCCAUGGCAACGUAACUGAACGCAGAGACGCCGGCGGGGGCCCCGGGAAGAGUUCUCUUUUCUUCUUAACGGCCCAUCACCCUGAAAUCGGUUUGUCCGGAGCUAGGGUUUGACGGCCGGCAGAGCCCCGCACCUUUGCAAGGUCUGGGGCGCUCCCGACAGCCCUUUGUAACGGGGUAUGUCAGAACACGUGAUGUGCUGACCGUGUGCUACCUAGUAGACUACUGUUGGAUGGUCGAAAGGU
rfam:Lasallia pustulata genome assembly, contig: scaffold720_size21631